CCCCGCCGGGAGCAGAGCGAGCGAGCGGGCGAGCGAGCGGAGCCCGGGUGCGAGUUGGAAGUUUCUGGGGGGCGCCCACGCCUCUCCAGGGCCGCCUUUUCAAAUUCGGCGAGGCGGAAACAGAGGCCCAAAAGAGUUAAGCCGGAAAAAGAGCACGCUCUUGGUCUAGGGCCCUUUGGACAAAACUACUUCACACCCAAGCUUCCUUAGAAUCUUCUCCCUUUUCACCUCCACCCUCUACCUUGCCAACUCUCUCUCUCUCCAAGGUGAGCUGUAGCCAGGAAUGAGGAAAGCGCUGGACUUGGGGGUGAGAAGUUGUCCUUGGAAUCACCGAUUCAUGAGGCAUCAGAUCUGGAAAGUAGCUUCAGGGGAGGGGAGAUCGGAUUACAGUCCCACCUUUUACAGAUGGGCAUGCCGAGUCCCAGAUCCCACACUGAGCCCAUGGGCCGCCUGGCCCCAAGUUGAUCUUUUCUGGGCUGCAAGAUCUCCAGAGCGCUGUACCUCAAGCAGGGGACAGGUGGGGCCCAAAAUCUAGGCGGUGUCCUCUCUCCCCAGAUUGAGUCUUUCUAAUUCUCCCUGAAGCAUCCUAGGGGCUGACAGAGGCCCCAAAGCUGCCUCUUGGCCCCCCUAACUAAGAGCUCCUAGUCUGUAAAAUGCCCCGAGGUCUGGAGAGAAGCCAUCCAAUAUGGAAGUGCUUAAUGGGCUGCAGUACAUUUUGUAAGAGAAUUCUGGAAUUGUUUUUAGGGGAAUACAGGAAGAUGCCGUUGGAGAUGUGAAUAGAAAGGCCCACUCCCGUGGCCUCUGUCCUCUUGUUUACAUAUCCCAUAUGUACCCUCUUGAGUACCUAUCCCCAAACAUAUCCAACCCGCUUCACCUUCUCCCCAAACUACCCAUCUUUCUCCACUCGGCUCUCUCACGUCCUGCUGAGGCCUCGUCAGUGGACUUCCCAAGUCCCGAGUCUCUGCCCAGGACUCAGGAUGGAUACAGUCCAUCUCAGAGUGGGCAGUGCAUAAUGGGAAAUGUCACUUGGACCUAGAACUACUUCCUUCAACUUGCCCUCCAUUCCUCUCUCAAGACCUAAAAGAUUUGGAGAGUUUGGGUUAUCAAGGGAUUUUCAGGGCCUCCCCUAAAGGAAUCUGAACUGUGGUCCCUGGGCAGUUGGCUAACACCCAGUAAGUGGUGAGGUCAUUCCCCGCCCCCCAGGAAUUUGUAAGCAUUCUGUCUUCUUCCUUCCUCUCCUUUACUUGCAUAAUGAGACCUUAAAGACCAGAGAAAUUCCAUGUAGCUAUAAAUUAGCUUUAUGCUGCAGGCGUGACAUGAAGGGAACAAGAUUUUUUUUUUUUAAGGAUUUCGUUUUUAUCUUAAAGUCAUUUGUCCGGUGCUACAGGCUGCACCCAGACGAGAGAGGUGCAGAGAGAAAAGAGGGGAUAACACUAUUCUGUACACCUCAGGAUUCUUUUAGGAUGGAAAGCUUUAGGAAAAGAAUUAAUUCAUCCCGGCAACUUCAGGACUGAGACAGUUGUCUGAGUUUGGUCCUCCGUUUCAUAUGUAGGACAGUAAGUUCAUUCUGGCCCCACGAACGUGACCAGGAAACUUCUGUGUGUUCAGCACCAUGCUGUGCACAGUGAGAGCUGGUAGAGAAGCAAAUAAUAUGGUUGUCACCUUCACGGUGCCUGCACUACUCUUCAGGGAGGCAUUAAAAUGGCAAAAGGCAGGGGCACCGGGGUGGCUCAGUCGGUUAAGCGUCCAACUCUAGAUUUCGGCUCAGGUCGUGAUCUCGUGGUUUGUGAGUUCGAGCCUUGCGUAGAGCUCUGCACUGACAGUGUGGAGCCUGCUUGGGAUUCUCUCUCUCCCUCUCUCUCUGCCCCUCCCCUUCUCUCUCUCUCUCUCUCAAAAUAAAUAAAGUAAAAAAAAAAAAAAAUAGCAAAGGGCAGCCAGCAGUUUGGACAAAAGUUCUCCAAACAAGAGGCAGUUCCAUUUAGAUGGUAAGGGAAAAGGCAGAUGCAUAAAAUCAGGAAAAGAAAUAUGAUACCGCCCACACCACCCAGACCCAGAAGCCCCAGGUCUGUUCCGGGCUCCCCCACUCAUUGCUGAUGACCUGCAGAAAACUCCCCUCUCUGGUCCUUCCCAGUGUCUUCAUUUGUAAAGUGAAAAGUGUAUUGGUUGUCUCUGAAGAUCUUUCCAGGUCUGGCCUUCAGUAAUUCACUCUUCUCUUCGUCCUCCACUCCCCUCUCCAAGGCACCUGUGGAUAUACCCAGCCUUACUGAGCUGUCACUCUUCUACGUAAGAUUUUCAGCUGCCACCCCCCCCCCCAAGAUGGGGCCGCAGGAGCCAAGAAGAACGGAGAAGGGUUCAAUAGCAAUACGCUCUAAACUCCCCCCAGAGAACACCAGUGAGUAGAAUCCCACUUCAACAGGUACCAGCCCUGUGACUUUGGACGUGUUACCUAACCUCUCUGAGUGCCCUCAUCUGUGAAACCAGAGUAAUAAUCACGACACCUAGGGCAUGGGUUUGCUAAAAGAAUUCAAUGAAUUCUUCACCUGCAGUGCUUGAAUGGUGCUGGCACCUUAUGACAAUUAAUGUUCAUUAUGGUAAUUUGCAAGGCUUUGGUGAGGGAUAAAAUUGAAGAGCACCCCCCCUUCUCAACCCCCACCCCCAAGUGGGGCUGACCAGGAGGCUCAUAUCCCAGGGUGCAGAGCUUUCUCAGACGAGACUCUGAGAGGCCCCGGGACAAACCCAGUAUUCCAAUGGUCAACAAUUUAAAACCACACUUUAUUUUAUUUAAAAAAAAUUUUUUUUUAAUGUUUAUUUCACUUUUGUGAAAGAGACAGAGCAUGAGCAGGGGAGGGGCAGAGAGAAGGGAGACACAGAAUCCGAAGCAGGCUCCAGGCUCCGAGCUGUCGGCACAGAGCCCGACGCGGGGCUGGAACUCACAAACCGCGAGAUCAUGACCUGAGCCGAAGUCGGACCCUUAACCGACUGAGCCACCCAGGUGCCCUGAAACAAAACUUUAUUUUAAAACAAAUAUGAGACUAUUAUUGUGAAGGAUGUACAGUUUGCGUGUUUUCUUUUUAAGAUAAAACUUACUUGUGGUGAGUGGGAUGUUUGAGGGCCCUGAAAUAAAGGGUCAGGCAGUACCUCAGUGAGUCUAAGGGUCUUCAAUCACUAGCACUGAUUGGCUGGCCUAAUCGGUGCUCCACCCACCUGCUUGUGUCUAUAUUCCACACUGGUGCCUUGGUAAUCCCACAAAUACCCGUUAGCACUUCGGGAGAGGCAGAAGCCACUGUUCCCAGGAGCCCAAGACAUUGGGCCAUAAGUGCUUGGAGCUGGGACCCUGACUGCAGGGCUGACUCCUUCCUCCUCUCUUCCUUGGUGACCUUGGGCAAUCACAGAACCUCUUCCCUCCCAACCUCAAUGUAACGAAAAGCUGCUGAAUGAGGCUGGGAGGCUUUCCUGAGCUCCUCCACUGUUUGCCACAAGCCUGACAUGAACAGGCAGGGGUCCUCGGAAUUACUUUUCAGACAAGGAGUGGAGACAAGUGAUUUGUCCAGGGUCCUGUGCUCUCUCUCCUCCUUUUGCAAGUUCAAAAGUGCCUUGAAAACGGGUUGUUUGUACAAAGAUGGAUCAGAUUUCUUGGUGGAAGGAGACAGCCCCCCACACACACAUACACACACACACACACACACGAAGAGUGGGCCCCUCCCCAACUCUGUUAGCAGGCCUUUCUGAUAAGAAAGUAUCAGUCAGCAUCCUCUAUCGCAGACAAAAAGCAGAUCUUCUGUUCUGCUGAAGUCAGCAGAGAGAGCCACUGAACAGAGAAGUAAUACUCAUCAAGCUGAAGCCAAGGUAAAUAUUGACCUUCUGGCAUGAUAAAUCCUCCUGUUAAUCUAAAACAGAAAUCUUCCCCUCCCCCCGCCCAGUGCCCUAUUGCACAUGGAUUCUCCGAUUCCCCCCAGAAGUUCAGGGAGGCCACAUAGGAACGGAGAGGUUUUCACACUGAUUUCUCCAGCAGCCCGUAAUCCCAGCUGUUCCAGAUCCCAAGACAGCACAGAAGUGGGCACGGUUGACUCCAGGUCGCAGGACGGUCACAGCAGAAGGGCUUCUUCGUUCUGCUCCAAGCUUUUUGUCCUUGGGCCGGGGCAGAAUGGGGCCAAACAUGGACACUCUGCAAGAUGCGAACCCUGAAUUUUUCUUCUUUCCCCCGCACACCCCCACAGGUGUCCACCCGGGCCCUAUAAACAGGAACGCUGCUUUGCCCAGCACGCCUGCAAGUGUAAGCCUACCUGUUUCCCCCAAACACCGGCAGUGAGAUAGAUGUUCAGAAGACGGCGAAUUUGACGGCUGCCACAACAGCCCAUGAUCUUAAACAGAAGUUUGAAGGGGGGGGGGGGGGGGGAGUGUCAAAAACAAAACCUAAAAAACACUAAAAAAAAAAAAAAGGUAGGGAGUGUGCCCAAUCACCCACGCUAAAAGCCCAACUUGUAUGGUGAUAAGUUUGCUCCCUAAUGUGGCCACAGCCCAGCAAAAUGCUUCCCAAAGAGCUUAACGAGAUGGUUCGAUGAUAAACAAAGGAAGGCCAUGUCUUCGUGUGUUCCUUCCGCUGCUAUAAAGAACACCAUAGGCUAGGGGGCUUAUAAACCAUAGAAAUUUAUUUCUGACAGUUCUGGGAGCUGGAAGUCCAAGAUCAAGGUGAGGGCCCACUUCCUGGUUCAUGGAAGGCCAUCUUCUCUCUGUGUCCUCACAUGUCAGAAGGGGCAAGGGAGCCCGCUGGGGUCUCUUUUAUGAGGGCAUCAGUCCCGUUCAGGAAGGCUCCAGCCUCCUGAGCUAAGCACCUCCCAAAGGUCCCGCCUCCAAAUACCAUCAUACUAGGGGGUUAGGAUCUCAAGGGAUGGAUGGGGAGUGGAGGGGACACAGACAUUCAGUCCCUUGCAAGGGACUAAAAUUCCAAAAUAAAGAAGAGGCAAUGCCCAGGAGAGUGUUGGCCUUACCAGUUUUACCCUGGCACACGUAUGAAGACAGUGGGGUGUUUAGACACAGUAACCCCACAUCAUGAUGGCCCUCCCACCAGUGCCCGAGCUGAGGGUCUGUGAUGGGUAGUUCUUCCCAGGGCUCCUUACUCCCUGCACUGUCCAGUGCUGCAGUUCAGCACUUGGGGCUCCUGCCAUGAGAAGACCGUAAAACAAAGCAACGGUGAGUGACUGGGGAGGUAGGAGUGGCCACGGAGGGACGCUGGACUUAGGGAAGACCGGCCGGGAGUGAUCCAGACCUCCCAAGUCAUGCAGGGAAAAGGAAUGAAACUUGUUCUUUGAGCCCCAAGGACAACUUGGAGGCUAAUGCAUGUUGAUGUCCGCUGAACACAAAGAGAAAUUCGUGAGUCAGGUAAGUGGAAAGCAGGAGCCAAGGCCCUGAGACCGUGGUUCCAGGCCCUCGGGGCAAGAAAGGCACCUCAUCAAUGGAAGACUUUCCCCCAAAUGGGCCUGAGUAAGUCUGGGAGAGGAAACUGGUGUUCACCAACGUCUGGAUCAGCUGCCUUCUCCAGAGAAGGCCUCCCUCCCCCAGCCCCCCCCCCCCCCCUUGCAGCUGGGCAGGGCCAUGUGGCUAGCUCUGGCUGCUGGGUAGGAGCAGAAGGGACCACGCCCACUUCUGGGCAAAGAGAGGUGAAGGGGUAUGACUUCUCCAAGCCCUGUCUGUCCCCCAGAUGUUCCCUGGGCUGGGCCUGGGUCAGCCUGGACCCCUGUGUGCAGGAGGCUUUCCCCCACCCAGCCCGCCCUCUAACUAGCGCUGGAGAGCCUUCAGUGGUCAGCCACGGAGAUGUCAGGGACAUCUUACUACUGUAGCAUUGCCUGGCCUUUUCUGACUAAUACAUUAAAGGACGUAUGUGUGCUUUGGUGGCUUGGUGCAAAGGGGCCCUUUGCCCUGCAGAAGUGGUCAGAAAAUGAUCUCCUAUGGACAAGAUUGAACCUUUUGGUGCCUGUCCAUGUGCGUCUAUGCAAGAUCUGGGUCACGUCCCUCUCUUUCACUUUCCCAGAUGUGUCUGUCGCUCUCACUAAGCAAAUCCUAACGUGUGGCGAACCAAAGGGCACAGCAGGUACCGUGGUGUAUGUGCACCCAAACCCCUUGAGAUCUGGAGAGAAGCCACCCCCCACCAAAGGCAGCUGUCCGGAUGACUCUUGUCCUCCCCCACCUCCACACCACCUCUGCAUGCUCCAGCUCCAGAGGGACACCUCUGUUCCCUCAACGGGCCAGGAUCUUUUCCAUUGUUGAGACUGCACAGCUGGCUCCCCUCUGUCUGUGCUGUGCUGCAGACUGAAUGCUUCCGGCCCGCCCAGACUCACGUGUUGAAAGCCCACCCCCAAGGCAAUGGCCUUAGAAGGUGGGGCCUUUGGGAGGUGAUUAGGUCAUUAAGGUGGAGCCUCCUGAAUGGGGAUGAGUGCCCUGCUUUUUUGUUUGUUUUAAUGGUUAUUAAAUAUUUAUUUUUGAGAGAAAGAGAGACACAGAGUAUGUGUGAGGGAGGGGCAGAGAGAGAGGGAGACACAAAAUCUGAAGCAGGCUCCAGGCUCCGAGCUGUCAGCACAGAGCCUGACGCGGGGCUCGAACCCAUGGACCGUGAGAUCAUGACCUGAGCCAAAGUCAGACGCUUAACCGGCUGAGCCGCCCAGGCGCCCCAUGAGCACCCUUCUAAAAGAGACUUCAGAGAGUUCCCUUGCUCCUUUGCCGUGUCAGGAGACAGAUGUCUGUGAACCGGGAAGCAGGCUGUCACCAGACACAGAAUCUGCCGGCACCGUGGUCUUGGCGGCCUCCAGAAGAGUGAAAAACAAAUGCCUGUUGUUCAGAAGCACCCCCGGCCUGCGGUGUUCUCUUUCAGCAGCCCGAAUGGACUAAGACCCUCUUCCACCCUCCGUCUGUGUCCCCACCCCGCACGUCCCCCGUGAGUCUCCUCCAGAAUCACUAAUCUCUAAUCUCUAAUUAGAUCACAGAUCACUAAUCUCUCCAACUAGGACGAUGCCCAUCCGGUGCCUCCAGAGAUCUUUCCACAACAUCCUAUGCCCACACCCAUGUUCCCUUGCCAUGCCUACUUCUUCACACAUCUGCCGUCUCCCCUACAACACACUUCACACUCCGAAAGCAA